CACAGGCGGGGAGUAGCGCACGGGUGAGUAACGCGUGGGAAUAUGCCCUUCGGUUCGGAAUAACACAGGGAAACUUGUGCUAAUACCGGAUACGAUCUACGGAUGAAAGAUUUAUCGCCGAGGGAGUAGCCCGCGUAGGAUUAGCUAGUUGGUGAGGUAAUGGCUCACCAAGGCGACGAUCCUUAGCUGGUCUGAGAGGAUGAUCAGCCACACUGGGACUGAGACACGGCCCAGACUCCUACGGGAGGCAGCAGUGGGGAAUAUUGGACAAUGGGCGAAAGCCUGAUCCAGCCAUGCCGCGUGAGUGAUGAAGGCCUUAGGGUUGUAAAGCUCUUUCGCCAGGGAAGAUAAUGACGGUACCUGGAAAAGAAGCCUCGGCUAACUCCGUGCCACCAGCCGCGGUAAGACGGAGGAGGCUAGCGUUGUUCGGAAUUACUGGGCGUAAAGCGUGCGCAGGUUGNGAGAUCACUUGGAUGUCAAAGCCCGGGGCUUAACCUCGGAUGUGCGUCCGAUACUGUCUGGCUGGAGGUUGGAAGAGGAGAGUGGAAUUCCCAGUGUAGAGGUGAAAUUCGUAUUUAUUGCGAAGAACACCAGUGGCGAACGCGGCUCUCUGGUCCAUAAAUGACACUCAUGCCCGAAAGCGUGGGGAGCAAACAGGAUUAUAUACCCCGCUAGAUCACGCCGUAGACGAUGUGUGCUACGCGUCGGGAGGCUUGGGUCUCGGUGUCGCACCUGACGCGAUAAGCACACCGGCUGGGGAGUACGGCCGCAGGGCGAAAACUCCGCGGACGUGACGGCGGCCCNCACAAGCGGUGGUGCAUGUGGUUUAUUUCAAAACCCGCGCAUUACCUUAGCACCCCCUGCCAUGGCCAGUAUGGCCUUGAGAGAUUGCGUU
rnacentral:rRNA from 1 species